AGAGUUUGAUCCUGGCUCAGGAUGAACGCUGGCGGCGUGCUUAACACAUGCAAGUCGAACGAACUGAGGAGUGCUUGCACUCCAAGGUUAGUGGCGGACGGGUGAGUAACGCGUGGGUAACCUGCCUCAUGCAGGGGGAUAACGUUUGGAAACGAACGCUAAUACCGCAUAAACUAUGGAUUACCGCAUGGUAAUUAUAGCAAAGAUUUUAUCGGCAUGAGAUGGACCCGCGUUGGAUUAGCUAGUUGGUGAGAUAACAGCCCACCAAGGCGACGAUCCAUAGCCGGCCUGAGAGGGUGAACGGCCACAUUGGGACUGAGACACGGCCCAAACUCCUACGGGAGGCAGCAGUGGGGAAUAUUGCACAAUGGGCGCAAGCCUGAUGCAGCGACGCCGCGUGAAGGAUGAAGGUCUUCGGAUUGUAAACUUCUAUCAGCAGGGAAGAAUAAAUGACGGUACCUGACUAAGAAGCUCCGGCUAACUACGUGCCAGCAGCCGCGGUAAUACGUAGGGAGCGAGCGUUAUCCGGAUUUACUGGGUGUAAAGGGUGCGCAGGCGGCCUGGUAAGUCAGAAGUGAAAUUUCGGGGCUCAACCCCGGAGCUGCUUCUGAAACUGCUAGGCUAGAGUGUGGGAGAGGAAAGUGGAAUUCCGAGUGUAGCGGUGAAAUGCGUAGAGAUUCGGAGGAACACCAGUAGCGAAGGCGGCUUUCUGGACCAUAACUGACGCUCAGGCACGAAAGCGUGGGGAGCAAACAGGAUUAGAUACCCUGGUAGUCC
rnacentral:rRNA from 1 species